rnacentral:rRNA from 1 species
GGUACACGAGCGGCGAACGGGUGAGUAACACGUGGGUGAUCUGCCCUGCACUUCGGGAUAAGCCUGGGAAACUGGGUCUAAUACCGGAUAUGACCGAUGGCUGCAUGGCUGUUGGUGGAAAGGUUUACUGGUGCAGGAUGGGCCCGCGGCCUAUCAGCUUGUUGGUGGGGUAAUGGCCUACCAAGGCGACGACGGGUAGCCGACCUGAGAGGGUGACCGGCCACACUGGGACUGAGACACGGCCCAGACUCCUACGGGAGGCAGCAGUGGGGAAUAUUGCACAAUGGGCGAAAGCCUGAUGCAGCGACGCCGCGUGAGGGAUGACGGCCUUCGGGUUGUAAACCUCUUUCAGCAGGGACGAAGCGAAAGUGACGGUACCUGCAGAAGAAGCACCGGCCAACUACGUGCCAGCAGCCGCGGUAAUACGUAGGGUGCAAGCGUUGUCCGGAAUUACUGGGCGUAAAGAGCUCGUAGGCGGUUUGUCGCGUCGUCUGUGAAAACUCGAGGCUCAACCUCGAGCUUGCAGGCGAUACGGGCAGACUUGAGUACUGCAGGGGAGACUGGAAUUCCUGGUGUAGCGGUGAAAUGCGCAGAUAUCAGGAGGAACACCGGUGGCGAAGGCGGGUCUCUGGGCAGUAACUGACGCUGAGGAGCGAAAGCGUGGGUAGCGAACAGGAUUAGAUACCCUGGUAGUCCACGCCGUAAACGGUGGGCGCUAGGUGUGGGUUUCCUUCCACGGGAUCCGUGCCGUAGCUAACGCAUUAAGCGCCCCGCCUGGGGAGUACGGCCGCAAGGCUAAAACUCAAAGGAAUUGACGG